rnacentral:tRNA from 1 species
GGGCCCGUAACUCAGCUUGGUAGAGUGACCGGCUCAUAACCGGUAAGUCGUGGGAUCGAAGCCCACCGGGCCCA